UAAUUAUAGUUGUCAACACGCAGUUACCUUUUCUGUCCUGCUUUUGGCUUUAUCAGCCUCCUCCAGCCCUCUUGAUCACUUCUGUGUCAGACUGAGAAGUUUAAUUCUAAGUUAAUCUGUUUAAUUGUACCCUGUUUGGAAGCCACUCAGUACCUUUGCACCUCCUUGUCGCUCCUUGAAUCAUUUCUAGUUCCUCCAUGUUUCCUUCCAGACACGGGAGUACCUCUUCUCCGUGCCCCUGCUGUAAGUGCAACGCGAAUCUUAAUGAAGCAAUGUAAUGUUGUUUUCUUACUUCCUCUCUUUUUUUCUAAUGCCUCCCUUUUGUUUAUUAUCUGCCAUUGCUUACUGAGCUGUGUUAGGAUAGCCAGCUGUGUUACAACUCAUCUCUUUCCACCACGGUAAUAGUUCAGAGCCCAGUGCUGUGUGUUAGACUAAGGAUCGUUUCCCCACAUGUGUGUUGCUUGGUGUUUAUUAGCGCUGAUUUCCAUCUGUGGUUUUUUUCACCCUGUCACUCCGAGAUCUCUCUUUAACAUCUACACUCAGCUUUGCUUAUGCUGCUUUGGAAGGUGUAAUGGAGGUGGAUGCUUCGCUCUCAGCCUGCUUCCCUGUUCGCUUACGUGGGGUUGAACAGCCCAAGCCCUCGCAUUGAUCCCUUGGAGCGAUCACCAGCAAUUGUGCAAGUUCAUCUCUUAUUCCUAUUCAGUCGUUACCUUUGUAAUCAGUUAUCAGUCAGUGCAAGGACCUUCCCUCUUGUUCUACGGCAGUAUCAUUUAACAGCCUCUGAGAGGAUGCAUUUGGAAGGCUUUGGGAAGUUCAUGUGGACAGGAACCCCUUGGGUGAGGUGCAGCAGAAAGCUCAGCAGUGCUCACCUGCACAGGGAAGCAAAAGCUGGGGCCCUUCUCCCUCUGCAUCUUGCAAGGGGACGGAAAACAGCAAAUCCCACACUGCAGUAACUUUCUGGUUUACCUAGCAGACCGGUCGGCUGUCCCAGCUUAGACAUCCCGUGCUUAAAUGAGCCUUCUGUCUCCCGCUACAAGACUCAGCUUGGCUGGGAUAAAUCGCCCUGCCCUAAGAAGGGUUUCUUACAAAAUGAAGGCCUGAACGUAGAUGAAGGUGGAAGGUGCACUGAAACUUUCUGCUGUGUUUGUUCUCAGGUCGGGACCUGGCUAUCUGCAAGCUGUGUUCCAGCCUUUGAAAAAUGGGUAAACUUCCAUCAUCUAAAUCUGUUCCUCCUGUUCCAGCCAAUUAAACAUUAAAAUGAGCAUGACAAAUAAGUGUUCAUUUAUGGGUCAAUAACUCCGUAGUGUGCCUAUGACAUGACUGGCUGAGACAAUCCAUUUCGGUACCGUCCUGGGCAAGCCGACAUCUUCAAGUAUGUAAUUGCUUUUAUACAGAAAGAGAAGUAAUAAGGAUAAUGUAGCUAUCAGGCCUCGACUCACGAGUUCAAAAACUUCCCCUUGCCAAUCAAAUGUCUUCGGUAUUCAACCGGGUUUAGUCUCAUAGCAAAGGCAUUAUUGUGCUGUCAGAAAAUACCCUAAUUGAUAGAUGCGUUUUCUCCAGUGUCGGAUGUUACCUCCGUGAAGACGCUCAGUUUUGUCCACCAGCCAAGUAACUAUCUGCGAGGAGGCCUUAGCGCACGCGUCGUGGCACUAGGCAGGGUUGCCUCGUCCCUCUCCUCUCCCCCCGCCCAUUAUAUCUAUAUUUUCUCAGCACUAUUAGAUUAUUAAAUGCUUAAUGACUAUUCCAUUCCUGCUAACUCUACUUUUGAUGAGCUGCAGCCAUAAAACUUUGGAACGGCAACGUGUGUGUCUGGUUCCUUUAUAGGAAGGGCACAUUUGGGGAGCUGAAGUAAUGGGGGAUAAAACUCAAUUAAUUAAUAGAAAUAAAAAGAAGUAAAUGAGGUAAUCAAACUCGGAGAAAUUAGUAUUGGCAGGUUCUGAAUGAUGCUUUUGGAUGAACAAUCUUUCAGAAUCCUCCCUUGUAUGCUGCUGCCGUCUCUUUAUUUAUUAUUAAAAUAACAUGAUCCAUGAGGCGCUCGGGGUGACUCCCAGCCUAGCUAAUUCUAAUUAAUCCAGUCAGGGAGAGCAGCAGGGUAAGUGGAGCAGUCUAUCGGAUUGAAAUUCAUAACUUAAUUGAGGUCAAAGUCCCGGGUUGGGAGAACAAAAGUCUUUCGCUGGGACCAGGCAGAUCAAUAGCAAUAAAUAUCUGGCUUGGUUACAAGUGGCUUAUAGUGACGGAUUAUCUGACAUUGGGCAGAGGUCUUGGUCUUGUUAAGGGCAAAGUCCUGGGGCAUGCCCAGGGUAGGGUGACUUUUGUCAGGGUUCCCUCCAAAACCCCAAGGAACUCCUAAAGGGCUCGUGGGAGCCGCAGAAGAAGGACGCCCAUAACGAAGUCCACUCGAGUUGUGCUGAAAUUUGGAUUAGGUUUCUCAAGGUACGGGUGUCUCGGAAGUAGCACAAGGGCACGUGUCACAUUAGUGCUGACGGAGGUUGGAAGAAGUUGCUCAGACUUACAGGAACUUGGAGCUAAAUCACAGCUUGUCCAGAGAAAGGCCUUUAGGACCGGGGGAGCUGAGCAGUAGAUUGAUGGGCUUUACGCCAAGCCUGUAUUUAUAGCACGUUUACAUUAGAUGAGAGAGGAAAGUUGGAAGAGGGCAGUGUAAAUAACCACUAAGGUAGAUCUGUCAUGGUAGAGAAACCAGCAGAGGCAGGUGUGGGUUCACCUGAUCUUCAGAAAUGCAGACACUGUCUGUGCUCUGACCUCGAAAAUGCUCAUGGGUUUGUACAUGCCAGCCAUGGCUGCAACCCCCAGUCCUUAUCCACGGCUCUACACUGUGACUUUGAGCAUUGACGGCAGUCCUGGUCCCAGGGGAAGAAGCCAAUAGGUCCUAGCCUGAGAUCUGGGGCACCGUACUGUCCACACAGCCCUGCCUGGUGGUUCUGGAGUACUCGUCAGCAGUAGCAACCUCAGGAGCUUCUCUGAGCUCUUAGUAGGUAGGUGUUCGCCUGGUGCUCAGUAUCGAGAUGCUAUCGUCACCCAGCCUGGUUGUUAUUAAUGCAAUAUUUAUGCAGAUUCAACUGUUCUGCUCGUAUCCUCUGUAGAGGACAAAUCCUGCUGUGGUCAGCAUUUGAUCCAUCUCUGAUGGAUGUUGUUCUGCCAAUGUACUUCAACACCGCUUGGAAGUGAGAUGGAAACCGCAGCUCAGAUGCAGCCAGUGGCUCUUUGAGGUUUCCCCUCCUCCCCGUGAGCGCUGCAUCAGAGUAAAGCAUCUCUUCAUGUCCCACUUGCCAGAAAUGUUCAAAAGAUCUCUUCACCUCUGCUCUAGGUGAGAUGUCUUGGCUGGUCAGCGUGCAGGUUUUACCUUGAUGGUAUUUCAGUGUUUACAAGUGGUAGGUGCACCCUCACACCUUUCUGAAACUGGCUCCAGAAAACACCUCUUGUUUUCCACUGCAGGACAUUAGCUUCAUAUGCACAAAUGGACAGAGCACAAAAAAACUAGGCAGCUGUUCAGUGCAUGUGUAUAAUUGCUGUUGAGGUUUCCUCACUACCCCACAGCACCUCAGCCUCCUCUCUAGGUCGGUGCUGUCCCUCUCCAGACUGAAAUUGCCCUGGUUAUGCUGCCUCGUUCCAGCAUGGACCAGUGCAAAACAGUUCCCGAGGCUAUUCCUGCCUUUAUAAAUGGCAGAAACCAGUAAAAAACUGCUUUGGCAGCUGGCAUUUUCCCUGUUGUAGUGGAGGGGGAGAUAGUUUGUUGUUUGUCAUUAGCAGUUGUGCACGUUAUUAAAAAAAAGUAGCGCUGGAUGUCCCAGCCUGCAGCACCCCUGGUGAUUCAGCGAGGAAGUUCCCCUUGUGGUUUAUUAAGAAUUGAGUUCAGGUUUCUAAUUCUCCAGUUUUGCUACAAAAUCCUGCGUGACCUUGAACAAGUUACUUGAUUUCUUUCUGUCUUGGUUUCCCAUUUGGGAAAUGCUGGGGCAAAUAAUUGUUUUUUAUCUCAUGGAUGUAACAAGAUUAUAAAAAUAUGGUAGUUCUAAGACCCUGAGAAAACCGAUCAAAUGAAAUUAAACAGAUCUUGCAGCCCAGAUGAAAUGAGAUGAAACAAGCAUGAAACUAUUAGGGAAAGAAAUGUUUCUUUAUCUUCUACAAAUAAAAAUGCAAAGUGAUUAAGUGGGUCUUUUCUAGCUAUUAGCAAUAACAGCUCUAGCCAGCUGACUUUUGCCACCCUUGAAAAUUAAUUUGCGGGGUACAGUCUUGAAUUUAGUAUGCUUACAAUAAAUACCCCUAAAAAUGUUGUCACCUUCUCCAGUGCAGGGUGUUACUGCUGUGAUGGUGCUGCAAUUAUUUGCCCUACGAAUAAAAAGCGGCUGCUCUAAAUGAGAUGCUCUAACACGAUGGUUUGCAAAUUUCUUUUAAUUGAUUUUUUUUCCCCUGCGAUAUUUCCUUCCUUAGUUGUACAUAUAUUUUUUUACUGUAUUAUUUAUUUAUUUGUUUAUUUAUUGUUUUUAUCCGGGCUGGUUUCAGAGGUCUGGUUCACAGCAUGUAUGCAUCCCAGCCACUUGUGGCUGGGAAGUGAAGCCAGGGUGCGGGCUGGCAGGGCGAUGGACCAGGUGGCUGGAGGUGGCCUUAUCCCCAGCAGCUUCUCCUCCUGCCAUGCAGCUGCACACCAGAGAUCGCCUCACAUCCCUGCUGCUGCGAGAGGCUGGGCACGUUCCCGUACGAGCUUGGUGCGUGCGCGAGAUGAUGGAGAGGAGGAAAGCCCCAGCUCUGGAGCCAUUUUCCUUCCCCGGCUCGGGGAACAGAUGAGAAAUGUCACCCUUUCAGCAGGGCCCUCAAAACAAGAUAGUGAUUAAUGAACAGAACGGGAAAGAGUAGGGAAGGAGCUGCGAGUGGCUGACUUUCUGCAGCACGGAGGGAAGACGAGGAGCGUUUCAGAAAGCACUGGGCUGCAGCGUGCUACAGAAAAAGCCUGUAUUAAUCACAGUCACACCGUGUAAAUGACAUCUGAGUCUGAAGCCAGAUCUGCAGAAGCUGCCCGGUUACCUUCUCCACGAUGCCCUAUUCCUGAUGCUAUUGUCAGGGUAUUUCCGAGCGAUGCUCACAGAUUACACGGCAAUUUGGCUUCUGAAGUGGUGUGAAAUUGAGCAUUGCAGUCUAAAUUCCACUGGUCGGACUCAGAAAAGGUUUGUAAAGUUAUGGCUCAGCAAUUGCAGGUGAUCGAUUUUUCAUAGCUUGAUAACCGAGCGCUCGGUUCUUGUAUGACAGGAGGUGAUCACGGGCACCCUCACCUCCAGUCCUAAUUGCAAAGAAAAGAGGUUAAUGCGGACCGUGAAGGCAGUUUCGAUCUGGAUGUUUAACAGCAGCAGAAAAACUCAGAGCUCUGUUGACUUCUGCUCAUCAAUUUCUCUUCUCGGAUGGAAAAGUUAAGCGUGGAUGUGGUCAGCUUGCACUCAGCAGCUGGUAGGGAACAACUUGCUAAGCCACAGGAGCCCAGUGGCUUGGGAAGAAGUCUCAAACUGAAGAUGUAAACUGGAGUGUACCACCAGAAGCAUUUAUUUUGACCUGUUUUAGAUUUUUUUUCCUUUUUGCCAGGUGUUCCUCUUGUGCACGUGUAAAUUACAAUGUGAAACAGGAGCAACUUCACGAUCAUAGAGAAACUCUGAGGUUUUGUUUUGUCAGCCAGAAAAGGAAAGCACAACUUGAAUCGAAAGGAAAAAACUUAUCUUGCUUUUAAAACAUUUGCUAAAAAAGCAAGUUUUCACUUGUGCUGUGCCCAGUUCCUCCUCGUCUGUAGGUGAGCAGUGAGCGGGGCACAUCGGUAGAGCAGCACAUGGAGAGUGAUGGGCUCAGUGUUGCCCUGAGCUCUUCCAGCUGAUUUUUAUGGCUGAAGCUAGCACGAAUGCCGCUCAAGGCAUCAGGCAAGAGCAAAGGCUGUCCCUUUCCCCAAAAGUUCUUGUUGGCAUCAGAUGCAGAACGACAGGUAGUGCAAAUGGCAAGGCUGAGCAAAUGGAAAUAAGGGAGAACAAAACAGAGACCAGCACAGAAAUAGGAAUCGUGGCUUAGCAUUUCCCCAGGCGGUGACAUGGAGAGACACGGCAGAGGUGCUCUGCCUCCAGGGAUUUAGAAGAUGGCAAGGUGUCAUUCCCGAGGACUUCUGAUGAAGGACAAACACACAAAUCCCCUACUUAAAUCAAUGGGGCUUUUAUCUGCGUGUAUCUUGGGGCUGAACGUGUCCCUUUCUGCGAUCGGAUCGGUUAAAAAAAA